GGCGGCUCUGGCAUUGAGCUUUACAGAACGAAGGGGAAAUUGGGUUGCAGUGGGGGUGAUGGGAAAGGUUUUCCAGACAAGUGGCAGCUAGCGAGAGCUUUGCUGUGUUGGAACCGGCCCAGACUGGCUGAAGGCUGCGAGGUGGGUCAACACAGUGAGCAGCGCCCGGGAGGUGUCUACAGAUGUGGAAAUGGAGGGAGGCGUAGUAGAACCCCACCCCAGGGGAUUUGAAGCCAGGUGCUUUCCAAUUCGGGAAUCACGGGGUCCACUCUACACAGUGAACCCACCUUCCUCUGCUCAGACAAGUCAAGUCCUGUCUUUGGCAUGGCCAUUCCAGAUGACUGUGGGGUCCAGCAACCUUGUCCUUUCUCCCUGGGAAAGGCCAAAGGAGGGACAGAUGCCAUGAAGGUGGGUCACAACAGUCACUGGGCACUGCCACUCUCGGGGCUAAAGGUGAUGCUGCGUUUGACUCUUACUCCCUCUGGAUUCCUUCAGCCAUCGCGUAUCCUACUUACCAGGAGGUCCGCACUGGACAUCGACUCAGCUACUCACAGCCCGGGGCAGGAGAGAAGUCACAGCAAAGCCGAGGAGUUGGGACGUUUCACUAGGCGUCAGUACUUGAGCCAAACCCUGGGUAGCCCUGCAUCUAAAGAGGGCCUCUGCGCUAAUUUGCUCCUUUGGCAGCUUGGCCGGGCCGCAUGUGCUCACUCCUGCAGUGAGGUGAGAUCACGCACUGCCUGCGAUGUGUGGAGAUGGAUGCCAUCGGCAGAGGGAUGCGAGCAGGACCCUGUGGGACAUCCCUGCUUUCAGCAGAGGAUCACAUAAGGGAGCACACUGUGCCACCGUGUGAAGAGGAACU